rnacentral:tRNA from 1 species
GGCCCUGUGGUGUAGCCUGGUCAACACACCUGCCUGUCACGCAGAAGAUCGCGAGUUCAAAUCUCGUCGGGGUCG